GUGUUGAUAUCUCUUCCUGGUUUACAAUAUCUCUAUCUAUAAUGAACUUGGCCCAGUAGUUUUGUGGAAAAUGUUAGUAAAAAUUUACAAAUUUUAUGAAAAUUGUUAUAAAAAUUGACUCUAAAGGACUAUUACUCUUUAGGGAGUCAAUUGACCAUUUUGGUAAUGUUUACUUAUUUUUAGGUUUGCUGUACAUUAUUGCUGUUUACAGUUUAU
rnacentral:lncRNA from 1 species